AGGUGUCGCCCAUGAAGGGUGUCAUGAGGUUCGGUAAAAAGGGUAAGUUGAGCCCCCGGUACAUUGGACUGUAUCAGAUCGUGCGAAAGAUAGGCGAGGUCGCCUAUGAGCUAGACCUACCAUCCGACUUGGAGGCCGUACACCCGGUAUUUCAUGUGUCUAUGUUGCGGAAAUGUAUUGGUGAUCCUGCCAGGAUAUUCCCAGUAGAUGACAUUCAGGUGACGGAGUAGUUAUCUUAUGACGAGCAGCCUGUAUCUAUUCUGGAUCGACAGGUGCGGAGACUACGCACUAAAGAAGUGCCCUCCGUCAAAGUCCUGUGGCGCAACAAUAAUCGGGAGGAGAUGACUUGGGAGGCGGAGGACGAGAUGAAGAAGAAAUAUCCCCACUUGUUUUCGACAUCCACAGAUUUUUGACGAAACGGGACUGGACUUUCGGGAGAGCUUACGACGUCUGUGAGGUGCAGAUACCGGUGAUCCUCCGCAGUAGGCUUCACUUCUUGCUAUUCCGGAGUACUCCUAUUUGAUCCGGAGUCCACUUUUGGUACAGACUCUUUUUGCUUUGUAUAUAUUUGGUAUAUUUGACUAUUUGGGUACGGCGGGGCCCUGUCUCGCCAUAUGUCUUUGUUUUGAGUUCGUAGAGGCCUGUAGUCAUAUAUGUGGGGCGAGGGUCUUAUGUGUGUUUGUCUGAUUCCGUUUUCUGGUCUUAAGGCGGUCUGUUUGUUAUGCCGGCCCCAAUUGGCGCUUAU